ACGCGUGGACCGAGACGGUCCCGUGUCGUUCACCCGAGGCGGUGCCGUACUCCUCGUGAGCACGGACCAGCGGCGGUUGGACCGGAGCCACAAGGCGGCAGCGGAAGGUGAGUCGACGUGGGUUCGCCCUUGUUGACAGUUAUAGCCCUGCCGUUCGGCGCUCCGGUUCGACCGAGGAAGAAGGGCAGCCCUUGCCCGUUGUGGUGCACGCCGUAUGGCGGGGCCUCCCGAUCCGAGUGAGCCGUGCGGUGUGGACUGCGUGCAGUGCUAAUCGUGGCGGCGAUCUCGGGUAGGAGAGCGUCACUUGUGCGCCAGUGCUGCUGGUAUUCAGAC
rnacentral:misc_RNA from 1 species